AAUAUUACCUUUGAAUUUUAGCUUUGUCCACUGUAAAUCCAGAUUUAGUUGUAAUUAAACUUUUUAGUGGUCACUAGUUAUUAUUUCAUCUUUUGUUAAAAACUAUCUUCAUUGCUAAAUCACAUUAGUUCUUUGUAAUAAUCAGCCUAAGUAUGCAGUGCACAGAUCAUGUCAAGC